UACAGAGGUCUCAAGCGUUGUUCGGAAUUACUGGGCGUAAAGGGCUCGUAGGCGGCCAACUAAGUCAGACGUGAAAUCCCUCGGCUUAACCGGGGAACUGCAUCUGAUACUGGAUGGCUUGAGUUCGGGAGAGGGAUGUGGAAUUCCAGGUGUAGCGGUGAAAUGCGUAGAUAUCUGGAGGAACACCGGUGGCGAAGGCGGCAUCCUGGACCGACAUUGACGCUGAGGCGCGAAAGCGUGGGGAUCAAACAGG
rnacentral:rRNA from 1 species